rnacentral:rRNA from 1 species
AUUGAACGCUGGCGGCAGGCCUAACACAUGCAAGUCGAACGAGUGGCGGACGGGUGAGUAAUGUCUGGGAACCUGCCUGAUGGAGGGGGAUAACCACUGGAAACGGUAGCUAAUACCGCAUACUAUCCGAUAUGCCACUAUGGGAUUAGCUAGUAGGUGGGGUAAAGGCUCACCAAGGCGACGAUCCCUAGCUGGUCUGAGAGGAUGACCAGCCACAUUGGAACUGAGACACGGUCCAGACUCCUACGGGAGGCAGCAGUGGGGAAUAUUGCACAAUGGGCGCAAGCCUGAUGCAGCCAUGCCGCGUGUAUGAAGAAGGCCUUCGGGUUGUAAAGUACUUUCAGCGGGGAGGCGUUACCCGCAGAAGAAGCACCGGCUAACUCCGUGCCAGCAGCCGCGGUAAUUC